AACACUGGGGUUAGGGGAGAGGGGUGAGCUAAAAAGCCCAGUGAGUAGAAACAAAGAAAACAGUUCAUUAAUUACAUGCUUUCAUGAAAUGCGUCACAGCACAAACAAAUCAUAUCACGGAUUGGACCCAACCCCAAAACAUCCCUAAGCUAUUUGCCCGGCCACCAUAGAGGGCACCACAGGACUUCGUAAUGCCUGGCCCAGCCAGGUCUUAUCCAUAGGGCUAGUGGGGUCG
rnacentral:lncRNA from 1 species